UUAAGCGACUAAGCGUACACGGUGGAUGCCCUGGCAGUCAGAGGCGAUGAAGGACGUGCUAAUCUGCGAUAAGCGUCGGUAAGGUGAUAUGAACCGUUAUAACCGGCGAUUUCCGAAUGGGGAAACCCAGUGUGAUUCGUCACACUAUCAUUAACUGAAUCCAUAGGUUAAUGAGGCGAACCGGGGGAACUGAAACAUCUAAGUACCCCGAGGAAAAGAAAUCAACCGAGAUUCCCCCAGUAGCGGCGAGCGAACGGGGAGCAGCCCAGAGCCUGAAUCAGUGUGUGUGUUAGUGGAAGCGUCUGGAAAGGCGUGCGAUACAGGGUGACAGCCCCGUACACAAAAAUGCACAUAUUGUGAGCUCGAUGAGUAGGGCGGGACACGUGGUAUCCUGUCUGAAUAUGGGGGGACCAUCCUCCAAGGCUAAAUACUCCUGACUGACCGAUAGUGAACCAGUACCGUGAGGGAAAGGCGAAAAGAACCCCGGCGAGGGGAGUGAAAAAGAACCUGAAACCGUGUACGUACAAGCAGUGGGAGCACGCUUAGGCGUGUGACUGCGUACCUUUUGUAUAAUGGGUCAGCGACUUAUAUUCUGUAGCAAGGUUAACCGAAUAGGGGAGCCGAAGGGAAACCGAGUCUUAACUGGGCGUUAAGUUGCAGGGUAUAGACCCGAAACCCGGUGAUCUAGCCAUGGGCAGGUUGAAGGUUGGGUAACACUAACUGGAGGACCGAACCGACUAAUGUUGAAAAAUUAGCGGAUGACUUGUGGCUGGGGGUGAAAGGCCAAUCAAACCGGGAGAUAGCUGGUUCUCCCCGAAAGCUAUUUAGGUAGCGCCUCGUGAAUUCAUCUCCGGGGGUAGAGCACUGUUUCGGCAAGGGGGUCAUCCCGACUUACCAACCCGAUGCAAACUGCGAAUACCGGAGAAUGUUAUCACGGGAGACACACGGCGGGUGCUAACGUCCGUCGUGAAGAGGGAAACAACCCAGACCGCCAGCUAAGGUCCCAAAGUCAUGGUUAAGUGGGAAACGAUGUGGGAAGGCCCAGACAGCCAGGAUGUUGGCUUAGAAGCAGCCAUCAUUUAAAGAAAGCGUAAUAGCUCACUGGUCGAGUCGGCCUGCGCGGAAGAUGUAACGGGGCUAAACCAUGCACCGAAGCUGCGGCAGCGACACUAUGUGUUGUUGGGUAGGGGAGCGUUCUGUAAGCCUGUGAAGGUGUACUGUGAGGUAUGCUGGAGGUAUCAGAAGUGCGAAUGCUGACAUAAGUAACGAUAAAGCGGGUGAAAAGCCCGCUCGCCGGAAGACCAAGGGUUCCUGUCCAACGUUAAUCGGGGCAGGGUGAGUCGACCCCUAAGGCGAGGCCGAAAGGCGUAGUCGAUGGGAAACAGGUUAAUAUUCCUGUACUUGGUGUUACUGCGAAGGGGGGACGGAGAAGGCUAUGUUGGCCGGGCGACGGUUGUCCCGGUUUAAGCGUGUAGGCUGGUUUUCCAGGCAAAUCCGGAAAACUAAGGCUGAGGCGUGAUGACGAGGCACUACGGUGCUGAAGCAACAAAUGCCCUGCUUCCAGGAAAAGCCUCUAAGCAUCAGGUAACAUCAAAUCGUACCCCAAACCGACACAGGUGGUCAGGUAGAGAAUACCAAGGCGCUUGAGAGAACUCGGGUGAAGGAACUAGGCAAAAUGGUGCCGUAACUUCGGGAGAAGGCACGCUGAUAUGUAGGUGAAGUCCCUCGCGGAUGGAGCUGAAAUCAGUCGAAGAUACCAGCUGGCUGCAACUGUUUAUUAAAAACACAGCACUGUGCAAACACGAAAGUGGACGUAUACGGUGUGACGCCUGCCCGGUGCCGGAAGGUUAAUUGAUGGGGUCAGCGCAAGCGAAGCUCUUGAUCGAAGCCCCGGUAAACGGCGGCCGUAACUAUAACGGUCCUAAGGUAGCGAAAUUCCUUGUCGGGUAAGUUCCGACCUGCACGAAUGGCGUAAUGAUGGCCAGGCUGUCUCCACCCGAGACUCAGUGAAAUUGAACUCGCUGUGAAGAUGCAGUGUACCCGCGGCAAGACGGAAAGACCCCGUGAACCUUUACUAUAGCUUGACACUGAACAUUGAGCCUUGAUGUGUAGGAUAGGUGGGAGGCUUUGAAGUGUGGACGCCAGUCUGCAUGGAGCCGACCUUGAAAUACCACCCUUUAAUGUUUGAUGUUCUAACGUUGACCCGUAAUCCGGGUUGCGGACAGUGUCUGGUGGGUAGUUUGACUGGGGCGGUCUCCUCCUAAAGAGUAACGGAGGAGCACGAAGGUUGGCUAAUCCUGGUCGGACAUCAGGAGGUUAGUGCAAUGGCAUAAGCCAGCUUGACUGCGAGCGUGACGGCGCGAGCAGGUGCGAAAGCAGGUCAUAGUGAUCCGGUGGUUCUGAAUGGAAGGGCCAUCGCUCAACGGAUAAAAGGUACUCCGGGGAUAACAGGCUGAUACCGCCCAAGAGUUCAUAUCGACGGCGGUGUUUGGCACCUCGAUGUCGGCUCAUCACAUCCUGGGGCUGAAGUAGGUCCCAAGGGUAUGGCUGUUCGCCAUUUAAAGUGGUACGCGAGCUGGGUUUAGAACGUCGUGAGACAGUUCGGUCCCUAUCUGCCGUGGGCGCUGGAGAACUGAGGGGGGCUGCUCCUAGUACGAGAGGACCGGAGUGGACGCAUCACUGGUGUUCGGGUUGUCAUGCCAAUGGCACUGCCCGGUAGCUAAAUGCGGAAGAGAUAAGUGCUGAAAGCAUCUAAGCACGAAACUUGCCCCGAGAUGAGUUCUCCCUGACUCCUUGAGAGUCCUGAAGGAACGUUGAAGACGACGACGUUGAUAGGCCGGGUGUGUAAGCGCAGCGAUGCGUUGAGCUAACCGGUACUAAUGAACCGUGAGGCUUAACCUU
rnacentral:rRNA from 1 species